rnacentral:rRNA from 1 species
AGGACGAACGCUGGCGGCGUGCCUAACACAUGCAAGUCGAACGAGGUCCAUGUAGUGGCAACACUACGGAAGGCCUAGUGGCGAACGGGUGGGUAACACGUGAGGAACUUGCCCCGGAGACCGGGAUAACUCUUCGAAAGGGGGAGCUAAUACCGGAUGUUCUCACCGAGUCGCAUGGCUUGGUGAGGAAAUGGAUUCCGCUCCGGGGAGAGCCUCGCGGCCUAUCAGCUAGUUGGAGGGGUAACGGCCCACCAAGGCAUCGACGGGUAGCUGGUCUGAGAGGACGAUCAGCCACACUGGGACUGAGACACGGCCCAGACUCCUACGGGAGGCAGCAGUGGGGAAUCUUGCGCAA